GAGUUUGGCUUGUUGUUAUGAACAUUGUUCGUUUUCGCCAGUUUGAAGGUUUUUUAGCAUGUGUAAUGGCAUGAAUGUGUUGAAUUAGUAAUCCCUUGUGUAAAGAUGUUGUUUUAGUGUUUUUUUGAUGAGUUUGGCUUGUUGUUAUGAAAAGUGUUUGUUUUGGCGAGUUUGAACGUUUUUGAGCAUAUGUAAUGGCAUGAAUGCAUUAAGCUGUUGUUUUAGUGUUCUUUUGAUGAGUUUGGCUUGUUGUUAUGAACAUUGUUCGUUUUGAUCAGUUUGAAGGUGUUUUUAGCAUGUGUAAUGGCAUGAAUGUGUUGAAUUAGUAAUCCCAUGUGUAAAGCAGUUGUUUUAGUGUUCUUUUGAUGAGUUUGGCUUGUUAUGAAAAGUUUUUGUUUUGGCCAGUUUGAACGUUUUUGAGCAUGUGUAAUGGCAUGAAUGCGUUAAGCUGUUGUUUUAGUUUUCUUUUGAUGAGUUUGGCUUGUUAUGAACAUUGUUCGUUUUCGCCAAUUUGAAGGUUUUUUAGCAUGUGUAAUGGCAUGAAUGUGUUGAAUAAGUAAUCCCUUGUGUAAAGAUGUUGUUUUAGUGUUCUUUUGAUGAGUUUGGCUUGUUGUUAUGAAAAGUGUUUGUUUUGGCGAGUUUGAACGUUUUUGAGCAUGUGUAAUGGCAUGAAUGCGUUAAGCCGUUGUGUUAGUGUUCUUUUGAUGAGUUUGGCUUGUUGUUAUAAAAAGUGUUUGUUUUGGCGAGUUUGAACGUUUUUGAGCAUGUGUAAUGGCAUGAAUGUGUUGAAUUAGUAACCCCAUGUGUUAAGCUGUUGUUUUAGUGUUCUUUUGAUGAGUUUGGCUUGUUGUUAUGAAAAGUGUUUGUUUUGGCGAGUUUGAACGUUUUUGAGCAUGUGUAAUGGCAUGAAUGCGUUAAGCUGUUGUUUUAGUGUUCUUUUGAUGAGUUUGGCUUGUUGUUAUGAAAAGUUUUUGUUUUGGCCAGUUUGAACGUUUUUGAGCAUGUGUAAUGGCAUGAAUGCGUUAAGCCGUUGUUUUAGUUUUCUUUUGAUGAGUUUGGCUUGUUGUUAUGAACAUUGUUCGUUUUCGCCAGUUCGAAGGUUUUUUAGCAUGUGUAAUGGCAUGAAUGUGUUGAAUAAGUAAUCCCUUGUGUAAAGAUGUUGUUUUGGUGUUCUUUUGAUGAGUUUUGCUUGUUGUUAUGAAAAGUUUUUGUUUUGGCCAGUUUGAACGUUUUUGAGCAUGUGUAAUGGCAUGAAUGCGUUAAGCUGUUGUUUUAGUGUUCUUUUGAUGAGUUUGGCUUGUUGUUAUGAACUUUGCUCGUUUUGGCCAGUUUGAAGGUUUUUAGCAUAUGUAAUGGCAUGAAUGUGUUGUAUUAGUAAUCCCUUGUGUUAAGCCGUUGUUUUAGUGUUCUUUUGAUGAGUUUGGCUUGUUGUUAUGAAAAGUGUUUGUUUUGGCGAGUUUGAACGUUUUUGAGCAUGUGUAAUGGCAUGAAUGCGUUAAGCUGUUGUUUUAGUGUUCUUUUGAUGAGUUUGGCUUGUUGUUAUGAAAAUUGUUAGUUUUGGCCAGUUUGAAGGUUUUUGAGCAUGUGUAAUGGCAUGGAAGUGUUGAAUUAGUAAUCCCUUGUGUUAAGCUGUUGUUUUAGUGUUCUUUUGAUGAGUUUGGCUUGUUGUUAUGAAAAGUUUUUGUUUUGGCCAGUUUGAACGUUUUUGAGCAUGUGUAAUGGCAUGAAUGCGUUAAGCUGUUGUUUUAGUGUUCUUUUGAUGAGUUUGGCUUGUUGUUAUGAACAUUGUUCGUUUUGGCCAGUUUGAAGGUUUUUGAGCAUGUGUAAUGGCAUGAAAGUGUUGAAUUAGUAAUCCCUUGUGUUAAGCUGUUGUUUUAGUGUUCUUUUGAUGAGUUUGGCUUGUUGUUAUGAAAAGUGUUUGUUUUGGCGAGUUUGAACGUUUUUGAGCAUGUGUAAUGGCAUGAAUGUGUUGAAUUAGUAACCCCAUGUGUUAAGCCGUUGUUUUAGUGUUCUUUUGAUGAGUUUGGCUUGUUGUUAUGAAAAGUGUUUGUUUUGGCGAGUUUGAACGUUUUUGAGCAUGUGUAAUGGCAUGAAUGCGUUAAGCUGUUGUUUUAGUGUUCUUUUGAUGAGUUUGGCUUGUUAUGAAAAGUUUUUGUUUUGGCCAGUUUGAACGUUUUUGAGCAUGUGUAAUGGCAUGAAUGCGUUAAGCUGUUGUUUUAGUGUUCUUUUGAUGAGUUUGGCUUGUUGUUAUGAACAUUGUUCGUUUUCGCCAGUUUGAAGGUUUUUAGCAUGUGUAAUGGCAUGAAUGUGUUGAAUAAGUAAUCCCUUGUGUAAAGAUGUUGUUUUAGUGUUCUUUUGAUGAGUUUGGCUUGUUAUGAAAAGUUUUUGUUUUGGCCAGUUUGAACGUUUUUGAGCAUGUGUAAUGGCAUGAAUGCGUUAAGCUGUUGUUUUAGUGUUCUUUUGAUGAGUUUGGCUUGUUGUUAUGAACAUUGUUCGUUUUGGCCAGUUUGAAGGUUUUUUAGCAUUUGUAAUGGCAUGAAUGUGUUGAAUUAGUAAUCCCUUGUGUUAAGCCGUUGUUUUAGUGUUCUUUUGAUGAGUUUGGCUUGUUGUUAUGAAAAGUGUUUGUUUUGGCGAGUUUGAACGUUUUUGAGCAUGUGUAAUGGCAUGAAUGCGUUAAGCUGUUGUUUUAGUGUUCUUUUGAUGAGUUUGGCUUGUUGUUAUGAACAUUGUUCGUUUUGAUCAGUUUGAAGGUUUUUUAGCAUGUGUAAUGGCAUGAAUAUGUUGAAUUAGUAAUCCCAUGUGUAA